rnacentral:rRNA from 1 species
UAGCGGAGCGUGUGGUUUAAUUCGAUGCAACACGAAAAACCUUACCAAGGCUUGACAUGCUAGUAGUAGGAACCCGAAAGGGGGACGACCGGCCUUCGGGCUGGAGCUAGCACAGGUGCUACAUGGCUGUCGUCAGCUCGUGCCGUGAGGUGUUGGGUUAAGUCCCAUAACGAGCGCAACCCCUGUUCUGUGUUGAUUUCUCACAGGAGACUGCCCAGGAAUUCUGGGAGGAAGGUGGGGAUGACGUCAAGUCAGCAUGGCCUUUAUGCCUUGGGCAACACACACGCUACAAUGGGUGGUACAGAGGGCAGCUAAAGAGCGAUCUGGAGCUAAUCCCACAAACCCACCCCCAGUUCAGAUUGCAGGCUGAAACCCGCCUGCAUGAAGUUGGAGUUGCUAGUAACCGCAUAA